UACAGAGGGGGCAAGCGUUGUUCGGAGUUACUGGGCGUAAAGGGCGCGUAGGCGGCCCACUAAGUCGAACGUGAAAUCCCCGGGCUCAACCCGGGAACUGCGUCCGAUACUGGUGGGCUUGAAUCCGGGAGAGGGAUGCGGAAUUCCAGGUGUAGCGGUGAAAUGCGUAGAUAUCUGGAGGAACACCGGUGGCGAAGGCGGCAUCCUGGACCGGCAUUGACGCUGAGGCGCGAAAGCCAGGGGAGCAAACGGG
rnacentral:rRNA from 1 species